rnacentral:rRNA from 1 species
AGAGUUUGAUCCAGGCUCAAUUGAACGCUGGCGGCAUGCUUUACACAUGCAAGUCGAGCGGCAGCGCGGGGUUUGGGCAACCGAGUCCUGGCGGCGAGCGGCGAAAGGGUGAGUAACACAUCGGAACGUAUCCCGUAAUGGGGGAUAACCCGGCGAAAGCCGGGCUAAUACCGCAGAUGCUCUACGGAGGAAAGUGGGGGACUCAGCAGGCAGGCCUCACGCUAUGGGAGCGGCCGAUGGCCGAUUAUCUAGUUGGCGGGGUAAAGGCCCACCAAGGCGACAAUCGGUAGCUGGUCUGAAAGGAUGAUCAGCCACACUGGGACUGAGACACGGCCCAGACUCCUACGGGAGGCAGCAGUGGGGAAUUUUGGACAAUGGGGGCAACCCUGAUCCAGCCCUGCCGCGUGCGGGAAGAAGGCCUUCGGGUUGUAAACCGCUUUUAGUCGGGAAGAAAGGGCGCUCCUGAAUACGGAGUGUCUAUGACGGUACCGGCGGAAUAAGCACCGGCUAACUACGUG